rnacentral:rRNA from 1 species
AAUAGAUACCCCGGUAGUCCACGCCGUAAACGAUGAAUACUAGGUGUGGGGGUUUCAACACCUCCGUGCCGCCGCUAACGCAUUAAGUAUUCCGCCUGGGGAGUACGGUCGCAAGAUUAAAACUCAAAGGAAUUGACGGGGACCCGCACAAGUAGCGGAGCAUGUGGUUUAAUUCGAAGCAACGCGAAGAACCUUACCUACACUUGACAUCCCUUGCAUUACUCUUAAUCGAGGAAAUCCCUUCGGGGACAAGGUGACAGGUGGUGCAUGGUUGUCGUCAGCUCGUGUCGUGAGAUGUUGGGUUAAGUCCCGCAACGAGCGCAACCCUUGUCGUUAGUUACUACCAUUAAGUUGAGGACUCUAGCGAGACUGCCUGGGUUAACCAGGAGGAAGGUGGGGAUGACGUCAAAUCAUCAUGCCCCUUAUGUGUAGGGCUACACACGUGCUACAAUGGCUGGUACAGAGAGAUGCAAUACCGCGAGGUGGAGCCAAAACUUAAAACCAGUCUCAGUUCGGAUUGUAGGCUGAAACUCGCCUACAUGAAG